rnacentral:rRNA from 1 species
CUACGGGAGGCUGCAGUGGGGAAUAUUGCACAAUGGGGGAAACCCUGAUGCAGCGAUGCCGCGUGAACGAAGAAGGCUUUCGAGUCGUAAAGUUCUGUUCUUAGGGAAGAAAAUGACGGUACCUAAGGAGAAAGCACCGGCUAAAUACGUGCCAGCAGCCGCGGUAAUACGUAUGGUGCAAGCGUUGUCCGGAAUUACUGGGCGUAAAGAGUUCGUAGGCGGUCAAAUAAGUCAGAAGUGAAAGGCUACGGCUCAACCGUAGUAAGCUUUUGAAACUGUUUGACUUGAGUACUGGAGAGGAAAGUGGAAUUCCUAGUGUAGCGGUGAAAUGCGUAGAUAUUAGGAGGAACACCAGUGGCGAAGGCGGCUUUCUGGACAGUAACUGACGCUGAGGAACGAAAGCGUGGGGAGCAAACAGGAUUAGAUACCCUCGUAGUC